GCCUCACAGAUUGAAUGCCAAGUCACCACACAGGAACUGAGGAGGCCAGAAAACAAAAAACAAUAAAACCAGAAAGAAAGAAAUAGUACUGUGGGGAGUGCAAAGCAAUAGAGAGCAAGAAGCGCCAGUCUGCAGGGAGACAGGUAUCAGGUUCAGUCAUGAAUAAUGAGGUAGCAAAUGUUUAGAUCUCCGACAAUUUGGCGAAAAAAAAAAUGGUAUUUUGGUGCAGUUCCUUUCCUUUCAUUCCCUUUCCCUUUCCCUUUCCUCUCUUUCUGUCUCCCUCCCUCCCUCCUUCCCUCCUUCCCUCCCUCCCUCCCUUCUCUCUCUUUCUUUCUCCUUUCUUUCUUUUCCUUCUCCCUUUCUUUUCCUUCUCCCUUCCCUCCCUUCCCUUCCCCUCCCCUCCCCUUCCCUUCCCCUCCCUUCCCUUUUCUUUCUUUUUUGACAGAGCCUUGCUCUGUUGCCCAGGCUGGAGUGCAGUGGUGUGAUCUUGGCUCACUGCAACCUACACCUCCUGGGUUCAAGUGAUUCUCCUGCCUCAGCCUCCCGAGUAGCUGGGAUUACAGGUGCAUACCACCAUGCCCAGCUAUUUUUUUGUAUUUUUGGUAGAGAUGGGGUUUCACCAUUUCGCUCAGGCUGGUCUCAAACUUCUGAGCUAAAGCAAUCCACCUGCCUCAGCCUCCCAAAGUGUUGGGAUUACAGGCAUGAGCCACUCUGCCCAGCCUCUAAGAAUAUCUUUCUUUUCUUCAAAACUGUGGAAUUCUUGGGUGUCCAAACCCAAUGAGUGUGUUCUUAAUCUGGGACAAUUCACUCUCUGCCUUUGUGUUAAUUCUGAGCCUUGCUGUCUGGGGAAUGGUGGCAAUUGCCUUCUCGUUUUCAAGGACAGGCAGGGUUCUAUGAAGGCAAUGUAGGAGGGUAAACAUGUAGCAAAGCUGGGGGUGGAGGGUUCCUGGUCACCACAGCCACAGUACUUGCAAAUGAAGUGAACCCAUUCAUUUAUUUUGAAAACAGUUGAUUUUGAGGUAAUGUCUUGUUAAUAACCAAUGCUAUAUGAUUGUUUUAGAAAAGAAACAUUUUGGCCAGGCG
rnacentral:lncRNA from 10 species